rnacentral:tRNA from 1 species
AUUUAUUUAGUUUAAUUUUUAAAACACUUCAUUUUCAAUGAAAAGAUGAGAAUUUCUCAUUAAAUA